rnacentral:rRNA from 1 species
CCUGAGAAACCCGAAAGAUCGAAUGGGGAGAUUCAUCGUCAGCGAUCCUGGCACGUGUGCGGUUCGUGAUGCCGGAGACCUCGGUCUCAUGGCACGCGUCCGCAUGGUUUUUUUAUGCCCGGUGUCGUCGGCGUGCACUUCUCCCCUAGUAGGACGUCGCGACCCGUUGGGUGUCGGUUUACGGCCCGGGUGGGCNCCUGUCAUGUGGUACGCUUCCCGGCGUUGGGUGGCARACCCCCGGUUGUUUGACCAACUGCCCGGCGGGACUUGCCCGGUAUCGAACCGCAAAUAUUUGAACUGCGUCCGGCCCGUCGCAAGCGAGGCCAGUGNUCCCGGAUGUAACGGACCUAGCGCCGUCCCCGGGCCUGGCCAGCUGUUGGCUGGCGGUGUCCUGGAACUGGCUUUUUKAAAAAUUAUGAUACCGGUCGGCGACGCUAUUGCUUUGGGUACUUUCAGGACCCGUCUUGAAACACGGACCAAGGAGUCUAACAUGUGCGCGAGUCAUUGGGAUCUCGUAAGCCUAAAGGCGUAAUGAAAGUGAAGGUCGGCCUUGCGCCGACCGAGGGAGGAUGGGCCGCGUCACGAUGCGGUCCCGCACUCCCGGGGCGUCUCGUUCUCAUGCGAGAAGAGGCGCACCCAGAGCG